GAUGAACGCUAGCGGCAGGCCUAACACAUGCCAGUCGAGGGGUAGAAGGAGCUUGCUCCUUUGAGACCGGCGCACGGGUGCGUAACGCUUAUGCAAUCUACCUUGUACAGGGUAAUAGCCCAGAGAAAUUUGGAUUAAUGCCCCAUAGUAUAUAACCUUCGCAUGUUGGUUAUAUUAAAGUUCCAACGGUACAAGAUGAGCAUGCGUCCCAUUAGUUAGUUGGUAAGGUAACGGCUUACCAAGACGAUGAUGGGUAGUGGUCCUGAGAGGGAGAUCCCCCAGAAUGGUACUGAGAAACGGACAAGAAUCGUACGGGAGGAAGGAGUGAGGAAUAUAGGUGAAUGGUCGCAAGACGGAAAAAGCCAUGCCGCGUGCAGGAAGACGGUCAUAUGGAUUGUAAACUGCUUUUAUACAGGAAGAAACCAUCAAACGUGUGGGAGCUUGACGGUAAUGGAGGAAUAAGGAUCGGCUAACUCCGUG
rnacentral:rRNA from 1 species